rnacentral:lncRNA from 1 species
AGAGAGAGGUUAGAGGGCCGGAUGUCGCUCUAACCGUGUGACUCUCUCCACUGUCCUGUCCAGUGUAUAACUCGGGCCGCUAAGUGAGUCAAUACGAACUCUGAGCCUGAGCGUAGCUGAGGAUCUCUUCCAGUGCUUGGAAAUGACGUAAAGGCUCUCUUGGAGCAUCAUUUGAACAAAUUAAGUCAAAUUACCAAAAGCAUCUGCUGAGCACCUGUAAGAUGCUAUCAUGAGUUCUGGUAUGUAGACGUGGACAGACUCAGCUCCACAGCAAAUAAUGUUUGAAGGAAAGUUUCAAGAGCUCCUAUAAUUCCUGAAAACAGAAGGUUCUGAAAUCUCCCACAAAACACCUGAUAAGUUUGGGCAUUAUAUUUAGGGAAGACACUUUGAAGUACACAGCAGUGGAAACAACAAAGGACUUAAUGUCAAAAGACCUGCUUCAAGCCUGGUUUAAAUAAUCUUGCUUAUACACUUGGGGACUCUUAUGGAAGUAUUGGGAAGGAUUGAGGACCCCGAAGGAGACAGGAACUCCACAGGAAGACCAACAGAGCCAACUAACCUGGAGCCCUGGGAGCUCUUAGAGACUGAUCCACCAACCCGAGAGCAUACACGGGCUGCACCAAGGCCCCAGGCAUGCAGCUCAGUCUC